rnacentral:rRNA from 1 species
UACGUUGAAAAGUGAGCGGAUGAACUGUGGGUAGCGGAGAAAUUCCAAUCGAACUUGGAGAUAGCUGGUUCUCUCCGAAAUAGCUUUAGGGCUAGCCUCAAGUGAUGAUUAUUGGAGGUAGAGCACUGUUUGGACGAGGGGCCCCUCUCGGGUUACCGAAUUCAGACAAACUCCGAAUGCCAAUUAAUUUAACUUGGGAGUCAGAACAUGGGUGAUAAGGUCCGUGUUCGAAAGGGAAACAGCCCAGACCACCAGCUAAGGUCCCAAAAUAUAUGUUAAGUGGAAAAGGAUGUGGCGUUGCCCAGACAACUAGGAUGUUGGCUUAGAAGCAGCCAUCAUUUAAAGAGUGCGUAAUAGCUCACUAGUCGAGUGACACUGCGCCGAAAAUGUACCGGGGCUAAACAUAUUACCGAAGCUGUGGAUUGUCCUUUGGACAAUGGUAGGAGAGCGUUCUAAGGGCGUUGAAGCAUGAUCGCAAGGACAUGUGGAGCGCUUAGAAGUGAGAAUGCCGGUGUGAGUAGCGAAAGACGGGUGAGAAUCCCGUCCACCGAUUGACUAAGGUUUCCAGAGGAAGGCUCGUCCGCUCUGGGUUAGUCGGGUCCUAAGCUGAGGCCGACAGGCGUAGGCGAUGGAUAACAGGUUGAUAUUCCUGUACCACCUAUAAUCGUUUUAAUCGAUGGGGGGACGCAGUAGGAUAGGCGAAGCGUACGAUUGGAUUGUACGUCUAAGCAGUGAGAUUGAGUGUUAGGCAAAUCCGGCACUCUUAAGAUUGAGCUGUGAUGGGGAGAGGAAAUUGUUUCCUCGAGUCGUUGAUUUCACACUGCCGAGAAAAGCCUCUAGAUAGAGAUUAGGUGCCCGUACCGCAAACCGACACAGGUAGUCAAGAUGAGAAUUCUAAGGUGAGCGAGCGAACUCUCGUUAAGGAACUCGGCAAAAUGACCCCGUAACUUCGGGAGAAGGGGUGCUCUUUAGGGUGCAAGCCCAGAAGAGCCGCAGUGAAUAGGCCCAAGCGACUGUUUAUCAAAAACACAGGUCUCUGCUAAACCGUAAGGUGAUGUAUAGGGGCUGACGCCUGCCCGGUGCUGGAAGGUUAAGAGGAGUGGUUAGCUUCUGCGAAGCUACGAAUCGAAGCCCCAGUAAACGGCGGCCGUAACUAUAACGGUCCUAAGGUAGCGAAAUUCCUUGUCGGGUAAGUUCCGACCCGCACGAAAGGCGUA